rnacentral:rRNA from 1 species
UACGAAGGGGGCUAGCGUUGUUCGGAAUCACUGGGCGUAAAGGGCGCGUAGGCGGCUUGAUAAGUCGGGGGUGAAAGCCUGUGGCUCAACCACAGAAUUGCCUUCGAUACUGGUAGCCUAGAGAUCGGAAGAGGUGAGUGGAAUUCCCAGUGUAGAGGUGAAAUUCGUAGAUAUUGGGAAGAACACCAGUGGCGAAGGCGGCUCACUGGUCCGAUACUGACGCUGAGGUGCGAAAGCGUGGGGAGCAAACAGG